GCCCUGGUAGCUCAAUUGGUUAGAGCGUCGGACUUUUAUAGGCUCAUGCUUAUAUAGCGUCAUCCGAAGGCUGCGGGUUCGACCCCCGCCUGGGGCG
rnacentral:tRNA from 2 species